rnacentral:rRNA from 1 species
GUGAGAAUGCCGGAAUGAGUAGCGAGAAUUAUGUGAGAAUCAUAAUGGCCGAAAGACUAAGGUUUUAGAAGGAAGGUUCGUCCGCUUCUAGUCAGCCGGGAGCUAAGGCGAGGCCGAAAGGCGUAGUCGAUGCACAUACGGUGGAGAUUCCGUAGCCGCCAUUAAUUUAAACAGAGGGACACUUUCAAGGGGCAUGACCCGGGCGUUGGUAGACCCGGGCGUAAGGGACCGAAGAUUAGUAGGGAAGCAUGCUUUAAGGAAGGCGAGAAAAGCUCUGUGUAUAGAAGAUGGCGCCCGUACCGCAAACCGACACAGGUAGUCAGGAAGAGAAUUCUAAGGCCAACGGGAGAAGGGUAGUUAAGGAACUCGGCAAAUUGACCCCGUAACUUCGGAAUAAGGGGUGCUCACGAGAGUGAGCCGCAGUGAAUAGGUCCAGGCGACUGUUUAUCAAAAACACAGCUCUCUGCUAAAUCGAAAGAUGACGUAUAGGGGGUGACACCUGCCCGGUGCUGGAAGGUUAAGAGGAAGGGUGCAAGCUCUGAAUUGAAGCCCCAGUAAACGGCGGCCGUAACUAUAACGGUCCUAAGGUAGCGAAAUUCCUUGUCGGGUAAGUUCCGACCCGCACGAAUGGCGUAACGACUUGUGAGCUGUCUCAACAGGAGGCCCGGUGAAAUUGAAGUAUGUGUGAAGAUGCACAUUACCCGCGACUGGACGGAAAGACCCCGUAGAGCUUUACUGUAACCUGACAUUGGAUCUUGAUAACGGAUGCACAGGAUAGGUGGGACGCAGAGAGACGAGGACUUCGGUUUUCGUGGAGCGGCCGUUGGGAUACCACUCUUCUGUUAUUGAGAUUCUAACCUCAAGCCGUAAGCCGGAUGAGAGACAGUGUCAGGCGGACAGUUUGACUGGGGCGGUCGCCUCCGAAAGAGUAACGGAGGCGCCCAAAGGUACCCUCAGAAUGGAUGGAAACCAUUCGAAGAGAGCAAAGUCAGAAGGGUGCUUGACUGCGAGACCAACAAGUCGAGCAGGUACGAAAGUAGGGCUUAGUGAUCCGGCGGUAAGAGAGUGGAAUUGCCGUCGCUCAACGGAUAAAAGCUACCUCGGGGAUAACAGGCUGAUCUCCCCCAAGAGUUCACAUCGACGGGGAGGUUUGGCACCUCGAUGUCGGCUCAUCGCAUCCUGGAGCUGAAGUCGGUUCCAAGGGUUGGGCUGUUCGCCCAUUAAAGCGGUACGCGAGCUGGGUUCAGAACGUCGUGAGACAGUUCGGUCCCUAUCUGUUGUGGGCGAAGGAGAUUUGAGGAGAGCUGUCCUUAGUACGAGAGGACCGGGAUGGACCUACCGCUGGUGCACCGGUUGUUCCGCCAGGAGCAUAGCCGGGUAGCUAAGUAGGGAAGGGAUAAGCGCUGAAAGCAUCUAAGCGCGAAGCCUACUCCAAGAUGAGAUCUCCCAUUCGCAAGAAGUAAGACCCCUUGAAGACGACGAGGUAGAUAGGUCAGGGAUGGAAGCAUAGCGAUAUGUGAAGUUGACUGAUACUAAUAGGUCGAGGACUUAAUCAC